CCAACACCUCCCUCCUGGUGAUGCUCCCAUGUUUCAGGCCCUGAGCUGAGCCUGGCAGUGGUAAUGAUCACACAGCCAACCCUUUCUGUCAUCAGCUGGACCAGCCAGCAGCAGCUACAUGUCUGCCUGGGAACGAGACAAGGCUGUUUCUCACAUGAAGCCAUAGAGGUGGUGGUGGUGUGAGUCGACAGGAGCUUUUUUCAGCCUACCACGAAGGCAUGUA
rnacentral:lncRNA from 1 species